UACGAAGGGGGCUAGCGUUGCUCGGAAUUACUGGGCGUAAAGGGCGCGUAGGCGGAUCGUUAAGUUAGAGGUGAAAGCCCAGGGCUCAACCCUGGAAUUGCCUUUGAUACUGGCGAGCUUGAGUAUGGGAGAGGUAAGCGGAACUCCGAGUGUAGAGGUGAAAUUCGUAGAUAUUCGGAAGAACACCAGUGGCGAAGGCGGCUUACUGGCCCAUUACUGACGCUGAGGCUCGAAAGCGUGGGGAGCAAACAGG
rnacentral:rRNA from 1 species